UACGUAGGGAGCGAGCGUUGUCCGGAAUUACUGGGUGUAAAGGGAGCGUAGGCGGGGCUUUAAGUCAGGUGUGAAAUAUAUGGGCUCAACCCAUAGACUGCACUUGAAACUGAGGCUCUUGAGUGAAGUAGAGGCAGGCGGAAUUCCUAGUGUAGCGGUGAAAUGCGUAGAUAUUAGGAGGAACAUCAGUGGCGAAGGCGGUCUGCUGGGCUUUUACUGACGCUGAGGCUCGAAAGCGUGGGGAGCAAACAGG
rnacentral:rRNA from 1 species